UUUUUAGUAUAAGUAUGUCCCAUGCAAUAUGGGGGACAUACUUAUACUAAAA
rnacentral:pre_miRNA from 1 species